GCUCUGUAUGCCAUUCCAGUGAUUUAUGUGUCUAUUCUUUCUCGAGUACCACACUGUUUUAAUUGCUGUAGCAUCAUAGUAAGUCUUGAAGCUGGGAAAUUUCAGUCCUUUGAGGGUGGAGCUGGCUGGCUGCUCGACCACCUGGAGGGCUGUGCUGGGGAACCAGAAAGAGCUGUGUGGGAAGGAAAGGGAUUGGAGGUUAGGCACAGUGGCUCAUCCCUGUAAUCCCUGCGCUUUGGGAGGUGGAGGCAGGAGGAUCUCUUGAGCCCAGGAGUUUGAAACCAGCCUGGGCAACAUAGCUAGAUCCCACCUCUAAAAAAAUAUUAAAAAUCAACCAGGUGUGGUGGCAUGUGACUGUAGUCCUUGCUACUUGGGAGGCUGAGGUGGGAGGAUCACUUGAGCCCGAGGUGGGAGGAUCACUUGAGCCCAGGAGGUCAAAGCUACAGUGAGCCAUGAUCACACACCACUGCACUCCAGCUGACAGAGUGAGCCCCUGUCUGAGAA
rnacentral:lncRNA from 10 species